ACAAUAUCAUGGUUCCUAGCAACAUUCUUGCUAAUUUCUCUACUUUCUUUUUUAUUUUUCAGUGGCUCUUUCAUGAUGUCACCCCAUUUACAUGGGUCUAGUUUCCUCUUGUCAGAUCUAAGCUUGGGGUCACAACAAAAGACCACACUAUCCCUUCAACUGAAGAGUUUGGUCAUGGCAAAACUUUACUCUUUACUCCAGAGGGUGUGCUCAGUAGAGCGAGAACCCUGGGAUGGUAGAGACUUACCAGAUGACUGCUCCAUAAUAUGGUUAGGAGAAGGGGUGUUUGUUUGCUUGUUUGUUUGUAGAUAUGAGAGAGAACAACCAGAGGCAUCUGGAAGUGUACAGAGCAGAGAGAAAAGCACACUGGAUAUGGCCAGGGCUAGAGAGGUGGGGGAGAAUAGUUGGGAUAAUAGGACACAACCUAAGAGAUGAGAAAGUAAGAGAAUAGUGAGAAAAGCUAGGUUACUAGAAGGAUGAGUAGCAGCUGGUCAGCAGGAGAUAGGUAUGGGGGGGUUUGAAUUAUAUAACACAUGUGUGAGUGUUGACUAAGGGAACCAUGAACCUUGGUAUGCUGAUAGGCACUACAGGUGUUUGGGUUUAUUUUUUAUUUUCUUUUUUUUGUUGUUUUUUUUUUUUUGUUUUUUUUGUUUUUACUAUUUGGAGGUUUUUAUUGUUUAUUUUAUUUAUUUACAUUUCAAAU
rnacentral:lncRNA from 1 species